rnacentral:rRNA from 1 species
CCUAGUGGCAGACGGGUGAGUAACACGUGGUCAACCUUCCCUUUAGUGGGGGAUAACUAGCCGAAAGGUUAGCUAAUACCGCAUACGAUCUGCACCCGGCAUCGGGGGUAGAUGAAAGGAGCAAUCCGCUUAAGGACGGGACCGCGUCCCAUUAGUUAGUUGGUGGGGUAAUGGCCUACCAAGACUCCGAUGGGUAGCUGGUUUGAGAGAGCGACCAGCCACACUGGGACUGAGAAACGGCCCAG